rnacentral:lncRNA from 1 species
UUGAUUUGAUAAAGAAAGGAAAAAAGGUUAACAAAUUGAAGCUUUAGCUGGUUGAUAAUUAUAUCUCUUCACUUAUCCACUCCGUAGCUAUUUAUUUGUUCACAUCUGAUUCAAGUUUCAGAGUUUUCAAGAAACACAGCAGAAAACAGAGAAGGCAACCACAGUCCCUAAUAUUUACCAUAACUGCUCUGCAUUGUCCAACCGACAGUCCUCUGUUCUCUUCAUAAACUUCCUCUUCAUCAAUCAUGUAAUGGCUCUCCAGCCAAUAUACGUCUCUCCUCCGGGAGCUUCCUUUCCACCGGUGCGGCUUGAAGAAGAGAGACG